AUACGUAGGGGGCGAGCGUUGUCCGGAAUGAUUGGGCGUAAAGGGCGCGUAGGCGGCCCGGUAAGUCUGGAGUGAAAGUCCUGUUUUUAAGAUGGGAAUUGCUUUGGAUACUGUCGGGCUUGAGUGCAGGAGAGGUAAGUGGAAUUCCCAGUGUAGCGGUGAAAUGCGUAGAGAUUGGGAGGAACACCAGUGGCGAAGGCGACUUACUGGACUGUAACUGACGCUGAGGCGCGAAAGUGUGGGGAGCAAACAGGAUUAGAUACCCUGGUAGUCCACGCGGUAAACGAUGAAUGCUAGGUGUUGCGGGUAUCGACCCCUGCAGUGCCGGAGUCAACACAAUAAGCAUUCCGCCUGGGGAGUACGGCCGCAAGGUUGAAACUCAAAUGAAUUGACGGGG
rnacentral:rRNA from 1 species